CCUACGGGAGGCAGCAGUGAGGAAUAUUGGUCAAUGGACGCAAGUCUGAACCAGCCAUGCCGCGUGCAGGAAGACGGCUCUAUGAGUUGUAAACUGCUUUUGUACGAGGGUAAACGCAGAUACGCGUAUCUGUCUGAAAGUAUCUUACGAAUAAGGAUCGGCUAACUCCGUGCCAGCAGCCGCGGUAAUACGGAGGAUCCGAGCGUUAUCCGGAUUUAUUGGGUUUAAAGGGAGCGUAGGCGGUCGGUUAAGUUAGAGGUGAAAUCUCGAGGCUCAACUGUGGAAUUGCAUUUGAUACUGGCAGGCUAGAGAGUAGUUGAGGUAGGCGGAAUGCAUGGUGUAGCGGUGAAAUGCUUAGAGAUCACACAGAACACCGAUUGCGAAGGCAGCUUACCAAGCUGCAUCUGACGUUGAGGCACGAAAGCGUGGGGAGCAAACAGGAUUAGAUACCCGAGUAGUC
rnacentral:rRNA from 1 species